GAUGAACGCUGGCGGCGUGCCUAAUACAUGCAAGUCGAACGCAACACUUCGGUGUUGAGUGGCGAACGGGUGAGUAACACGUAGAUAACCUGCCCUUAAGACGAGGAUAACCGUUGGAAACGAUGGCUAAAACUGGAUAGGAAUAUUGGAGGCAUCUCUGAUAUUUUAAAAGACCUAGUAAUAGGUAUACUUAAGGAGGGGUCUGCGGCGCAUUAGUUAGUUGGUGAGGUGAUGGCUUACCAAGACGAUGAUGCGUAGCCGGACUGAGAGGUUGAACGGCCACAUUGGGACUGAGAAACGGCCCAAACUCCUACGGGAGGCAGCAGUAGGGAAUUUUCGGCAAUGGGGGAAACCCUGACCGAGCAACGCCGCGUGAAUGACGAAGUACUUCGGUAUGUAAAGUUCUUUUAUCAAGGAAGAAUGACUUAUGGAAAAAUAAGUAGUGACGGUACUUGAUGAAUAAGCCCCGGCUAACUAUGUG
rnacentral:rRNA from 1 species